rnacentral:lncRNA from 1 species
CGGGGAAGAAGACACAGGUGGCUGGUCAUCGAGAGCCCGCUGGGGGAAGAGCACACAGACAGGCACCGGCAGGCCAUUGACCAGCGGGACAAGGUGGGCUCAAUGUCAUCACAAGGGUGCUUAAGAGGGAAAGAGGAAGCCAUGAGGGUCAGAGUCAAAGGAAGACUUGAAGAUACUACACUGCGGACUUUACAGAUGAAGGAAGGGGCGAAAACCAAGAAUGUGGGAAGCCUCUAGAAGCUAGAGAAGGCAAGGAAACAAAUUUUCCACUAGAGCCUCCAGAAGGAACACAGCCCUGCUGACCCACUGUAAUGUCUGACCUCUAGAUGUGUAAGGGUAGUAAGACUGAAAGUCUCAGAAAGGCACUGUUACAUUCUUAUUCCACAACUAUGCAACUCGAAACUGGGGUCCUCAGCAGUGAGCGAGGGGUGAGAGAAGACACUGUAUAAACAUGGCACAUCCUCCUGGAAAGUCAACUUUACUCAAAGGUUCUUACACACAGUGACAGCUAGCAGAGUCUAAAAUGCUGACAUUAUGACUUAGAGAUGUGAUAAAGAGAAACAUCUACUGCAUUUUCUUGGCUCGUGUGGAAUGACUUAUCCUGGAAUUUAGAGUUGAAGAUAAUCCUGAUGCUUCAAAGAGAAGAGUUGAAACACAGUCCUUUUUCUAAACAGAGGAAUUGUUGAAUAUGCGACUGAACCUCCGACUUAACUAAUUAGUUAAUUUGGAGCAGAGUUUGAACACAGUCCUUUUUCUAAACAGAGGAAUUGUUGAAUAUGCAACUGGUCCUCUGACUUAACUAAUUAUUUAAUUUGGAAGUUAUAGGUUUUUUAUUACUUGAGGAGCAGCUUUCUCUGAACAAAUACAGUGUCCCCUGGGGUGUCCAAAUUGUGACAGAAAAGUAGAGCCAGCUUGAAACUAGCUAGUCAUCACAUAGUGGCAUCAUGUGAAUGAAGACUCCCCCAAAUCUGUGACCCUCUUCUAUCCUUAUGGACUAAUUCAAUAAAUAAAUGAGCACUUUCUCAGUUCCCAAACUGAGAGCAUUUUAAAAAAAUAAUGAGAGCACAGAUAUCUAUUUAGAGAGAUGGCGAGAUAGAGGAGAGAGCAAGUUGCACACCACGAAACAAAGGGAAAGAUAAGAAGAGAGAGUGUGUCACUACUUCCCCGUGGCAGAAUCACAAUCUUCUUUUGGAUGUCAUGUUGAAAAGAUUCCCAAUUCGUAGUUCUGUGAGCUAAAGCAGAUGGAUGCUCCAUGUUGGUACAAAUUCCUAUUUGAAGCAGUGUGGUUGCAAAGAUGGGGUUUGGGUCAUUUGAUUUUCUCCGAAAAACAAUCUUGUGUAACUGUUAAAAGAAUU